CUGACCCUCGUCUCAUUCCUCUCUCUCUCUCCCUCCCUCUCCCAUCUCUCCUCUCCCCGAGAUGGGGGCAGCGCGCAGCGGCUGCAGUCCUGCAGCACGCACAACGCUAGAUCCAUCCAUGAAGAACUUCUAUGGUAGCACGGUGUGCGCCCGGUCCCCGUGCCCACCAUCGCGGCCGAAGCCCGACACAUCGGGUCGAGCAGGGAGGAGGAGGAGGCAGCAGCUUGUGCCGCCAUAGUCUGGGAGCUCGGCAUCGCUUGGCCGCUCGAGUCGAGCAUGGUGUGGUGGUUAGCUCCAGGGUUUCGUCCAUGGGAGCUGCUGCUGCGCUGCACGGCAUGGCUGUCGAUCCCUUGCAUCAAUUUUUGUAUUUGGACUCAGAUUAGUUCACUAAUCAACCCCCAGUCCUUGUUCUUCCCAGUUUUCAGUAUCUACCAUUGCUCUGUUGUGCUUCAGUUUUUGAUGCUUUACUGAAAUUUAGGGUUCCAUACUUGAAUUGAUGUGUGGUAUAGCUAAUCUGGUGCAUUUAUUUUGUGGAUCAAUUCCCUUGAUUACAUGCUGGUAGAGUUACUGCAUACGAAAAAAGAACUUCAUCUGGUCAUUAAAGUUUUCUCAAUCAGGUUCCAUGCCUUAGCCUAGAUACAGUUUUUUUACCGCGCAUUUGUGCAUUACAGUAAAAGCUCUGCAGUUUUUUUUCCUUUGAGAAGAACCUAAUCUUAUUGCUCUUUAGUGUCCCAACAAGUUGGUGGGAUACGUGCUAGCAUAUACCUUUUAGAAACCACUAUACUGUGAUCCAGAUGUUCCAUCAGGAGUUGUACAAUUUUUCUGUGGUCGACUUGUCCUGAAUCACUGAAUGUGAAACUUUUCCUGAAAUGAAGCCCCAGCAACCAAUUUGUUAUUGAUUUGCUGUCUGAACGCAUCCAAUACUGACUCUCGAUGUUAUGAAACAGUUGGAUUCCUGAAUAAUUAUGCUGAACUAAAUUUCUUUGAUUUGUUUCCAAUGGUUACUUUGUCAGUUGUGACAGGAGAAGCCAGUUCAUGAAUCUGUGCUUGCCGUGGUUUAAAUACCUGUGUUGGUGAAUGGGUGCUUGCCGUGCUUUAAAUACCUGUGUUGGUGUAGUGAAUAAUUAGCACCUGUUUUAGGACAUUUCGUUACGACUAGCACCUGUUGGAGGGCAAUUAUCUCGCUAUUCUCUUUCAUUUCCAUUGAGAGGUGAUUCAGCUCUAUGAACCCCUUUUCAAUCUGAUUCUUCGCAAGAGCUAAAUUGAUAGGUCAAAUAUCUUAAUUUUUAUAAUGCAGUCUGGUGGAGAGACCAAGUCUAUGAAUUAUCUCUGAGAGCUGCUUUUCUUCCCCAUUCAUCUCCAGCUCCUCCACUGAGAAUUAUCUUCUAGAAAGUGCAUAUAAAGGGAAGGGGCAAAAUAUGACAGAGCUUAUGACUUAUGUAGUAGAAUAAUCGAAAUCAUGGUCCUUGCUUCUAAGCCAUCUCUGGGUAUUAAUCCAAUGCUAAAUUAAAAACUUUGAUUGAAGUCCUCAGUCUAAUUAUUUAAUUUCACUCUACUAAAACAUUUAUUAAAAUGUUUUGUUUAGGGAAUACGUUUUAUUUUCUUCUGUUAUGGCAACUCUUGGCAUUCAGAUCAUUGAUGAUUGAUGUCUGAUGUAAGUCUCUCUCCCUCCAUUCUCUUGCAUUCAUUUAACAUUUCCUAGCUUUUUGUUGCCCUACAAAAUUUAUUUCCAGUUUCCUUCUAAUUAGAAAUUUCUCUUAGGUUUUCAUUUUUUCUGAGAUGCAAUUCAAUGUUAGUUGUCUGAACUCUUGUAAUCAGUAACAACCAAUAAUAAGGCCAUCAAUGUAUGCAAUUGAGAUGGCUUAUUUGUAUCCUUCACUCACAGCUAAAUUACCUGCAGCAAGUAAGCACUCAUAUUUUUUUCCAUCUAUUCAGUAGUAAAUUGAUUCUUCUUUCUUCUCAUGCUUAAUGCCGUGACACCCACAAAAUAGCCUCCAAAGAAGGUAGGGAUGAUUUCCCUUUCUAAAUUAAAAUGGCUUCUUCCGUUUCAUUCACUGUGACAUCAUGGCUGACUGGCUGUAUUGCAAAACCACACAUUUUUUUGUUUCCAAGGAUGAUUGGAAGCUCUUUGUUGUGGAGAGUAUGCAGUUAUCCUUCUCAAAGCUGAUGGAGAGUAUUGUUCAAACAUGUAUGCUUCAUCGGUUCAUUCCUAAAUUCCUGAUCGGAUAGUCUAUAUCCUGUUCUUGUGAAAUCAGGUCCAAUUUCAAUUAUUUCUAAUUUUCUACACUCCUUGGCAGAAUGAUUGCUCAUCUGCCUUGUCCUCUUCCCUUCCCUCACUUCAGAUUCAUGGUAUUUGUAUCAGAAUAUUUUUAGUAGUCAAUCAAACCUUUUUCCUGAGAGUUCAUGUUCUUAUCAUUUCUGUUUGUUGUAGGUCAUGCCAUCCUUUUCGAGCAUUAGGGUUGAAGGCUUGAAGCUGAAUGAUUGCAAACGGAGUAGAAGUGUCAGGUUGUAAACUAACUUAGCAAGUGUCAGGCUUGAAGCUGGAUGGAAAGCAUGGACAACCAAAAUAUUUAAAGAAAGCUUUAUGUCUAUAUGCUGAUGAUGGACAGCUAGAAGAAUGAAGAAUUACAGAAAGGUUUAUUGGUGACUGCUGGUGCCGAUGGGGGCAGGAAUAUAUCAAUAAGAGAACUCAUAUUUAGUUUUAUUUUAUUAUGCCAAACAUAGUUGCAAACUUGUAGUCAGAGAUGAUGUUUUUAUUCUGUUGUGGUCAUGUUUAUUUUAGCACUAUGGUUAUUGUGUUAUUACUUUGCUUGAGACAUAUAUUUCAAGUUAAAGGUUUGAGUUCUUAUA